GCCUCAGUUGCCCUGUCUGUGCCCUGGGUAGGAACGUCCUGGACCCCCUUGGGUCUAAUGGGGUAGCUGAUGC
rnacentral:miRNA from 1 species